UACGAAGGGGGCUAGCGUUGUUCGGAAUUACUGGGCGUAAAGCGCACGUAGGCGGAUAUUUAAGUCGGGGGUGAAAUCCCGGGGCUCAACCCCGGAACUGCCUUCGAUACUGGGUAUCUUGAGUUCGGAAGAGGUGAGUGGAUUUGCGAGUGUAGAGGUGAAAUUCGUAGAUAUUCGCAGGAACACCAGUGGCGAAGGCGGCUCACUGGUCCGAUACUGACGCUGAGGUGCGAAAGCGUGGGGAGCAAACAGG
rnacentral:rRNA from 1 species